rnacentral:lncRNA from 1 species
CCCUACCAGGCAGGGGGUUGGAGCUUCAUGAUCCUUGAGUUCCUUCCAACCCGGGUCAUUCUGUGAUUCUGUGAUUCUGUGAUUCUGUGAUUCUGUGAGUCACCUAGAAACUGGAGAGUGGUGAAGGACAUGCAUGUGAUUAAAACAACCUUGGCUGUUAAUAGUCUAAUUUCAGAAUCUGUGAGCAUGGUUUGUGCUACUUCUAUGUGGAGAAAUGCAAACAGAAAGUGAGAGAUGGAUCCUGAAAACAUGAACACAACAGGAGUACCAACAGGGAAGUCCAAGACAACAUAAUGCACAGAAAUAUGGCUUCGAGGAAAGGAAAAAUAAAGC